GGUCCUGCGCCGAAAAUGUCCGGGGCUGAAACACGACACCGAAGCUGUGGAUCCGAAAGGAUGGUAGAGGAGCAUUCUUAAGUCGACGAAGCUGUACUGUAAGGAGCAGUGGAGAGUUAAGAAGAGAGAAUGCCGGAAUGAGUAGCGAGAUUUAAGUGAGAAUCUUAAAGGCCGAAUAUCUAAGGUUUCCAGGGUAAAGCUGAUCUUCCCUGGGUAAGUCGGGGCCUAAGGCGAGGGCGAGAGCCGUAGUCGAUGGAUAACAGGUUGAAAUUCCUGUACUGCUUAUGGACAGAACUGUGGGGACGCAGAAGGAGAGCACGAGCCGGAAAUGGAGAAGCCGGUACAAGCGUAUACCAGUCAUGCAGGCAAAACCGCAUGAAAAAUGUAAAGUGUUAUGUGGAUCGAACAUUAGUAGAGAAGCGUGUGAGCCAGCUGCCAAGAAAAGCCGCUAUUGCUUCAUAAGUACCCGUACCGUAAACCGACACAGGUGGAUGAGGAGAGAAUCCUAAGGCCGGCGGGAGAAGUGUUGUUAAGGAACUCGGCAAAAUGACUCCGUAACUUCGGGAGAAGGAGUGCCACAGAGAUGUGGCCGCAGAGAAAUGGCCCAAGCAACUGUUUAGCAAAAACACAGGUCUAUGCAAAACCGAAAGGUGAGGUAUAUGGGCUGAUGCCUGCCCGGUGCUGGAAGGUUAAGAGGAGAGGUUAGAGCAAUCGAAGCUUUGAAUUUAAGCCCCAGUAAACGGCGGCCGUAACAAUAACGGUCCUAAGGUAGCGAAAUUCCUUGUCGGGUAAGUUCCGACCCGCACGAAAGGCGUAAUGAUUUGGGCACUGUCUCAACAACACACCCGGUGAAAUUGAAAUACCAGUGAAGAUGCUGGUUACCUGCGCCAGGACGGAAAGACCCCAUGGAGCUUUACUCCAGUUUGAUACUGGGAUUCGGUACUGUCUGUACAGGAUAGGUGGGAGGCUAGGAAAUGGUGACGCCAGUUGCCAUGGAGCCAACCUUGGGAUACCACCCUUACAGUACUGGGUUUCUAACCUGCAGCCGUGACCCGGCUGGGGGACAAUGUCUGACGGGGAGUUUGACUGGGGCGGUCGCCUCCGAAAGAGUAUCGGAGGCGCUCAAAGGUUCCCUCAGAACGGUUGGAAACCGUUCGAAGAGUGCAAAGGCAGAAGGGAGCUUGACUGCGGCACCGACGGGUGGAGCAGAUACGAAAGUAGGACUUAGUGAUCCGGUGGUAUAAAGUGGGAUUGCCAUCGCUCAACGGAUAAAAGCUACCCUGGGAUAACAGGCUUAUCACUCCCAAGAGUUCACAUCGACGGAGUGGUUUGGCACCUCGAUGUCGGCUCAUCGCAUCCUGGAGCUGUAGCAGGUUCCAAGGGUUGGGCUGUUCGCCCAUUAAAGCGGUACGCGAGCUGGGUUCAGAACGUCGUGAGACAGUUCGGUCCCUAUCCGGCGUGGGCGUAGGAUAUUUGAGAGGAGCUGUCCUUAGAACGAGAGGACCGGGAUGGACAAACCUCUGGUGUAUCUGUUGUUUUACCAAAGGCAUGGCAGAGUAGCCAAGUUUGGCAGGGAUAAACGCUGAAGGCAUCUAAGCGUGAAGCCCCCCUCAAGAUAAGAUAUCCCAUCUUCGGAGUAAGACCCCUUGAAGACUACAAGGUUGAUAGGCUUCAGGUGUAAGUGUGGUAACGCACUCAGCUGAGAAGUACUAAUAGGUCGAGGACUUAUC
rnacentral:rRNA from 1 species